rnacentral:rRNA from 1 species
CCUACGGGGGGCAGCAGUGAGGAAUAUUGGUCAAUGGGCGGAAGCCUGAACCAGCCAAGUAGCGUGCAGGAUGACGGCCCUACGGGUUGUAAACUGCUUUUAUACGGGAAUAACGCGCCUUACGUGUAGGGCUUUGCAUGUACCGUAUGAAUAAGGACCGGCUAAUUCCGUGCCAGCAGCCGCGGUAUUACGGAAGGUCCGGGCGUUAUCCGGAUUUAAUGGGUUUAAAGGGAGCGUAGGCCGCAUGUCAAGCGUGCUGUGAAAUGUCCGGGCUCAACCCGGGCCUUGCAGCGCGAACUGGCGUGCUUGAGUCCGCGGAAAGCAGGCGGAAUUCGUCGUGUAGCGGUGAAAUGCUUAGAUAUGACGAAGAACCCCGAUUGCGAAGGCAGCUUGCUGCAGCGGAACUGACGCUGAUGCUCGAAAGCGCGGGUAUCGAACAGGAUUAGAUACCCUAGUAGUC